UUUUGUAACUCAGUAAUGAAAAAGAAAAGUAACUCAGCGAUCCAGAGAAGAUCAGCAUGGCGCCUGCACAAGGAUGACACACAGAUUCGUGAGGCAUCCUAUAAAACC
rfam:Erinaceus europaeus unplaced genomic scaffold scaffold00029, whole genome shotgun sequence